rnacentral:rRNA from 1 species
UGGGGAAUAUUGGACAAUGGGCGAAAGCCUGAUCCAGCCAUGCCGCGUGUGUGAAGAAGGUCUUCGGAUUGUAAAGCACUUUAAGUUGGGAGGAAGGGCAGUAAGUUAAUACCUUGCUGUUUUGACGUUUACCGACAGAAUAAGCACCGGCUAACUCUGUGCCAG